CCAGAGUUUCAAGAAGAUUGGAGACCUGAGUGCAAAAAUUGAGGCUCUAGACCCUUCCAGAGCUCAGAUAUUGGCUGCGUCCGGAAUCGCAUACUUCCCUUCUAUAUAGAGUAGGCGAGCAAAAAUGUACGUUCGAAUCCUCAGUAUUCAUAAAAGAGUAGGCAAGACUUACCUGGUUGACGCACUAAUUAUCUCGAGAUUUGAACGAGUGCGUUCGAAUAUCCCUACUUUCCUACCAUAUAAGCGAAAACAGGACGUGAAAGAAGCAGUACUUUCGAAAAUCAGAAUUCAUAAAAGAGUAGGCGAGAAGUUCCCUGAUGAUCUCCCUCUUUCGCCCAGAUAUUUGAGUGCUUGUCCGAUUGUACUCAUCUAUCCCAGGAGGCCACGCGAAAGGAUACGUCAAUAUCAACAUCGCGGAGAUCAGCGACCCCGGGGGUUUUCAAAUGUGAGUAAACACGGUUCCUUGUGUUUAAAUCGUAUGUGUUAAACUACUAUAGAUUAAUGUUUUAACAGUUGAAGGUGAAAAGGAUUUAGACAGUAUAGUAUAGUUGUGAUUUUGCUGUAAACACACGUUUCAUUAUGUGUAGCUAGUUAACAGGGGAGCUCCAGUACACAUAACGUUACGUUUCUAAAGUGGAUUUACAUAACAGUACACCUUUAUUUAAAAUGUCUUUUACAUCAGGAAGGAAAAUAUUCUAUAAGUAUUGGAGAUGAGCACAUCACAACAUGAAAAACUAAUCUGAGUGUAAGGUUAUGUGUGCUGUGCUAUUAUGUACGAUAAUUCGCUGUUGUCAACACUGUUAACAUUAGACAAAUGUGCUGUAAAUAAGGCAAAUAAACAACUCUAUAAAGUAACUAAACAUGAUAUAUUUUUAAUUUGUCCCUUAUUAGUGUUGAUAUAUUGAGGAACAUUUAAGUUGGAUUAAAAGUGAGUUAACACAUCAAUCUCUCAGCAUGUAAAUGCAGUGUUGAGCUAGUAAUGUGAAUCUGUCUGUAUGUUACAGGGACAUGAGAACACGCGUGUGUUUAUCCAGUGGAGAGGCUCAUGAUGCUGAAUCAUGUCAUCAAAGGAUUUGAAGUGCAGAACUUUUGUGGUGGAGCAGGACCUGCAAGGAAAGAUGAUGGCAGCAGCAUUUGAUGGGGAAAAGAAGGUUUUAGGGAAUUUAUUCAAAUAUAAAGAUCUGAAAUGUCUGCAGACUGGUGUGAGCACUGGGGAUGAGGAGCCCAAAGCUGAAUCCUGGAAGUGGUGCCAUGGAUGAGUCCCUCCAUCUCUCCAUCUGCCCUUAUGAGUCCCUCCAUCACUCCACCUGCCCUUACGAGACCCUCCAUCUCUCCACCUGCCCUUAUUGCCUCAGAUUGUGAAGCGCUUGCAGUUGGAUGUGGUGUUCAGAGCCUGUAAAUACAUGCUUGUAGUUUGAACAAAGCUUUGUUUCAUGUGUUGUUGACUUGUAUAUGCAUUUAAUUAUUG